rnacentral:rRNA from 1 species
UACGAAGGGGGCUAGCGUUGCUCGGAAUUACUGGGCGUAAAGCGCACGUAGGCGGCUUUCUAAGUCGGGGGUGAAAUCCUGGAGCUCAACUCCAGAACUGCCUUCGAUACUGGAGAGCUCGAGUCCGGGAGAGGUGAGUGGAACUGCGAGUGUAGAGGUGAAAUUCGUAGAUAUUCGGAAGAACACCAGUGGCGAAGGCGGCUCACUGGCCCGUUACCGACGCUCAGGCGCGACGAGCGUGGGGAGCAAACAGG